rnacentral:rRNA from 1 species
UAGCGAAGGGGGCUAGCGUUGCUCGGAAUCACUGGGCGUAAAGGGUGCGUAGGCGGCCAACUAAGUCCGGAUGUGAAAUCCCCAGGCUUAACCUGGGAACUGCAUCCGAUACUGGAUGGCUUGAAUCCGGGAGAGGGAUGCGGAAUUCCAGGUGUAGCGGAUGAAAUGCGUAGAUAUCUGGAGGAACACCGGUGGCGAAGG